rnacentral:rRNA from 1 species
CUACGGGCUGCACCAGUGAGGAAUAUUGCACAAUGGGGGGAACCCUGAUGCAGCAACGCCGCGUGGAGGAUGACGCAUUUCGGUGUGUAAACUCCUUUUAUAUGUCAAGAAAAUGACGGUAGCAUAUGAAUAAGCACCGGCUAACUCCGUGCCAGCAGCCGCGGUAAUACGGAGGGUGCAAGCGUUACUCGGAAUCACUGGGCGUAAAGGACGCGUAGGCGGGCUUGUAAGUCAGGUGUGAAAUCCUACAGCUUAACUGUAGAACUGCACUUGAAACUACGAGCCUAGAGUAUGGGAGGGGGAGAUGGAAUUAGUGGUGUAGGGGUAAAAUCCGUAGAUAUCACUAGGAAUACCUAAAGCGAAGGCGAUCUCCUGGAACAUAACUGACGCUAAGGCGUGAAAGCGUGGGGAGCAAACAGGAUUAGAUACCCCUGUAGUC